AGAGUUUGAUCAUGGCUCAGGACGAACGCUGGCGGCGCGCCUAACACAUGCAAGUCGAACGGAGUCAAGAGGAGCUUGCUUUUCUUGACUUAGUGGCGAACGGGUGAGUAACGCGUGAGUAACCUGCCCUGGAGUGGGGGACAACAGUUGGAAACGACUGCUAAUACCGCAUAAGCCCACGAUCCGGCAUCGGAUUGAGGGAAAAGGAUUUAUUCGCUUCAGGAUGGACUCGCGUCCAAUUAGCUAGUUGGUGAGGUAACGGCCCACCAAGGCGACGAUUGGUAGCCGGACUGAGAGGUUGAACGGCCACAUUGGGACUGAGACACGGCCCAGACUCCUACGGGAGGCA
rnacentral:rRNA from 1 species